UUCACUGGUUUGUCAACAAUGUGGAAUUUCACACUUUGCAGAGUAAUAUUUUUCUAUGAACAAGGUAACUUAACAGUUCCAGCACAAGGAAUGUAGUGUCCUGAGAAUAACUUCAGUGAUGAAGAGGUCUAUGGGUACAAUGCUGUAAUGGCCUGAAAAAUCUUUUGCAAAACCGAGAAAUGCUCAUCUUCCAUUGCCAUGAUUGUGUAAAAGGACGAGCAGAGGAAUGAUUCAAAAAUAUAUGGCAGGAUUGAGAAUCCAACCCAUGACCCGUAGUCUGGUACUCUAUCCACUGACCAAUCCAUGCUGAUGGUCCAUCUGCUACAUUGAUGUCAUCUUAUAUAUUUAUUUAUUCAUUUAUAUCAUAUGAACAUUUGACAGUAAAGUAAAAAAAAAAGUUUGAUAUUCACCAAAAUAGAAUUUGUUACAAUACAUGUUUAAGAAAUUAAGUACAUGUACAUGCAUUGUUAUGCAUACAAUUAUGUACAUGUAAUUAUAUUUGUUAAUAGAUAAAUUUUUAAAUGAAUUUUCAUGUUGUUAUUGAUAUUGAUAUGUACAUGUAUUACUUCCAUUUCUAGAAUGAUUUUAACAUCUUGAUAUUAAAAAGAUGACAAAAUAAAUAAAUCUUAAAUAUUUGUCAACAAAGUUGUCUGGUGGGUUAAAGAGGAGCAUUAGUACAUAUGUCGGUUUAAUGUGAGAAGCCUUCAGAAUGAACUUUUAUCAGUGAGAUUUUUGUAAAUUGGGGGUGAGGGGCCUUCAACAAAAAAUAUGUAUGUUGAAGGCAUCAUCCUUGGAGUUUGGUAAUAUACACUGCAAAGACUUUUACCUAGCUGAUCACAUAUAAAGGUCAAUUACAUACAAAUCAUGAAUUGUAGAAAGAUUCAUAGAUGCAUUAUCAAUGAAGGUUUGACUCCUGUAGGAUUAUAGUUAAUAGGAAAUGGCACUCUGAAAGAUUGAAAGUCUACACAUGACUACACUAGUAGGCAUCACAAUUGCUCUCUGAAACAAAUUACACAAAAUUGUAUUCUUGGAAUGAAAUGCAUAUCUUUUUAGCUCACCUGAGCUGAAAGCUCAAGUGAGCUUUUCUGAUCGCUUUUUGUCCGUCGUCUGUCCGUCUGUCUGUUAAACUUUUCACAUUUUCGACUUCUUCUCCAGAACCACUGGGCCAAUUUCAACCAAACAUGGCCAUAAGCACCCUUCGGUAAAGGGCUUUCAAGUUCUUCAAAUGAAGGGCCAUGUCCCUUUCAAAGGGGAGAUAAUCACAAAAAUGCAAAAAUAGGGUGGGGUCAUUUAAAAAUCUUCUCAAGAACCACUGGACCAGAAGAGCUGAAAUUUACCCGAAAGCUUCCUGACAUAGUGCAGAUUCAAGUUUGUUCAAAUCAUGGCCCCCGGGGAUAUGAUGGGGCCCCAAAGGGGGAUCAAAGUUUUGCACACAAAUAUAUAGGGAAACACUUUAAAAAUCUUCUUCUCAAGAACCACUAAGCCAGAAAAGCUGAGAUUUACAUGAAAGCUUCCUGACAUAAUGCAGAUUUAAGUUUGUUCAAAUCAUGGGCCCCGGGGGUUGAAUGGGGCCACAAUAGGGGAUCAAAGUUUUACAUACAAAUAUAUAGGAAAAUUCUUCUUCUCAAGAACCACUGAGACAGAAAAGCUGAUUUUUACAUGAAAACUUUCUGACAUAGUGCAGAUUCAAGUUUGUUCAAAUCAUGGCCCCCGGGGGUAGGAUGGGGCCACAAGAGGGAUCAAAGUUUUACAUACAAAUAUAUAGUUAAAAUCUUUUUCUCAAUAACCACUGAGUCAGAAAAGCUGAUAUUUACAAGAAAACUUUCUGAUAUAGUGCAGAUUCAAGUUUGUUCAAAUCAUGGCCCCCGGGGGGUAGGAUGGGGCCACAAGUGGGGGAGGGUCAAAGUUUUACAUACAAAUAUAGGAAAAAGCUUUAAAAUCUUCUUCUCAAGAACCAUUGGGCCAAAGAAGUUAACAUUUACAUGAAAGCUUUCUGACAUAGUGUAGAUUCAAGUUUGCAAAGGGUAGUUUGGGCUAUAAUAGGGACUAAGGUUUUACAUGCAAAUAUAUAUGGAAAGUCUUCAGAUAUGGGCCAAGGUGACUAAGGUGAGCGAUGUGGCCCAUGGGCCUCUUGUUUUUUAAAGAAAUAUUUAUUUAGAGGCUCAUUUCCCUGUUGUGUAAGUUACAAUGUAACAAAUAGUUAUUUGGACUACCAAUAUUUGCUUAUGACCACAAAGUAAAGAUCACAUAUCUAUAAGUAGAAAUAGUUUUUCUAUAGCUGUCGAUCACCAUGUAUUCUUGUACAAGAGAGUGAAUCUCUUCUUUUCAAAUCUAAAACAUUGCAUGUUUGAUUGCAUAUAUAUACAUUAAUUCCACCAUGUUUGGAAAAUUAAAAAAAAUGUAUUUCCCUGAAAGAUGCUAGACCUACCCUACAUAAUAAGAUAAAUGGCAAAUAUUCUUCUUUUUUAAAUAACCUGCAUGACUAAAAUAAAAAGCUUCCCAAUUAUUUCUAGAGGCAAGGUUAGAUCCACCCAGUCUGAUUAAAAUCAAAUUUCGCACUUUGCUCGAUAUACGGACAGCGACUGUCCGUAUAUCGAGCGAAGUGAGAGGUUUGAUUUUAAAUCAGACUGAGAUCCGCCACAAGGUAAAUUAGAUCGGGCUCAAAAUUUUGAGAAUUGUCACACAAUUGCAGAUGAUCUCAAAGAAAACGAUAAUCUGAAUAAAUACAAUUAAUUUGUGUAUUACUAACCAGCUUAUAUGCAUCUAGAGGGUUUGUAAGGUCUUUACGCAAGAAAUUAUCGAUAAAAAUGACAAGUCGCCAUUUGCUUUGUUUAUUCUUAAAGUUGCGAUCAGCUUACGUGUACUAGUAUAGCACACGUAGAGUUACGCUUAUUUCUGACGUAAAUCUACGUCUACGACUGUUCGUGAAUACCGUCCCACACGUAAACGUACGCUACGUCUAGAUUUACGCUACGUUUACGUCUACGAACUUUAGUAAAUAUGGGCCCAGCUGGUACUUAAAUUAGGUAUCAAAACCAGUGAGUAAAAUAAAUGAACGAAAUCGUCUGAUUGUUAACUAAACCGGUAGAAAGCAUGCCUUAAAAUAUCGCCAAAUCACGUGACUUAGGUAGAUUCUAAAACACAAAAUACGCACGGAACGGAAGAACUCGAAAAUCUCCUAUUGUGAUUGUUUUGCGUAUAUUAAGUUCAUAUUGAUAUAGAUUUUGUAGUUAAAUUAUUUUCUACUCUAUAAUGAAUUCCAAUGUAAGUUCUAAAUUGAAGCUUAGCAUGCAUGACGUUACAAAUUGAGUUUGUUUUUAAUAAUUGAUUAAAAGCUAAUGAACAUCCUUAAUACAAAUCAUUGUAACUUGUAAGUUGUCAGAACUUGUUCCCAAUCCUUUUGAUUUCAUCAAUAAAAUAUGUUCAAAACAAACAAAUCAUUCAAUUUUUAGGAACGACUCCUUAAGUAAAAUAUUACAGAAAAGUACAAUACCAGGUAUACUUUCCUGGGCUAAAACAUGUCAACACUCACUUGAAUGAGUUGACAGAGCCAAGUCCAGAGACAUCACACCGAAACUAGCAGACGAAUUUACAUUCUCAUCCGCAGAAGUAAUUUAUACGUCAAGUGAUGAUUUGCAAGCAUCUGAGGAAAUUGUAUCCAGUUCUACCCAAAAUUUUGCCGAAGAAAAUUUAAAUCCCUGUUCAGAAAUCUGGUGUUCAAUUUUAUAAUAUACAGACACAAACUCCUCUUCAUAUCCCCCAAUGAAUAUUGACAAUUUUACAAAUCCACCAGUCUUUACAAACGAAAGGUUUACUAAUUAAUAACCUGUGUGAAUAAAGUGAGCCGCCACGACAAAACCUGGGGCGCGUUUUACAAAAAGUCGUAAAUCUUACGUCCUAAGUCAUUUUGAAGAAUUUACGACAGAUCGUAGGACCGUUUUACAAAACGUAUCGUAAUCGUAUAUCGUCGUAUAUGGAACUCUUCAGCGCAUGAAGUUGUAGAAAUGAACAUAGAUACCGCGCGAAACCCGAUAGAGCUAAUUAGGGUUUAAUUAGUAAUCUUAAUUAGUAAAAAGUCCCAACAAUUUUCUUCGUCGUCUUUAUCGUAAACACAUUUCUUUACGAAAUAUUAUUCGACGUACGACUUACAUACAUCUUUCUAUCUAUGAACAGGGGCAAGUAACUCGUGGGUCACCUGCUGAAACCCGACGCUUUGACGCGCAGACACUGGGAGGAAAGAAAAUUGGACCGCACUCGUCGAUGGUGUUGCGGAACGGUAUGAUAUAUAUAAUUAAGGGUAAAUUUUCACCCUUUCUUACAGCAGAGAAGAAAGCACAGGAAAUUCGGCAGGGGUAAUUAAAAUUUAUAUUAUUAGACUAUGAAAACGAAGGUAAGAAAAUUUCAUAUUAGCAGUGUAUUUGAACGUACGAUCACCAAAUUAACUUUGAAUUAUAAUUAAGCGAAGUAAAUUUAUUCAAUUAAAUCUAUUGAUUUACCAACGUGUUGACAUAUGCAAUCUUAAUUGAUACAUUAAUUAAUAAACUAAUUCAUACUAACAGUUCAUAUACAAGUAUAUAUAUUUGACAUGUAUCUGUGACAUCAAUCUGUAUGUAUACAAUUUAGUAUUGCAUAUAACAUUAGUUAAAUGUAACUAAUUUUCAACAGUAGUUUUACAAAACUGUCAAAAAACGAUUAUCUUUUGAAAUACAUGGUUUUGAAUAUCUGCCAGUUUCAAUUUAUAAAGGGUGGGCAGAUAUUUUUAGCUUUGUUAAUUUAGACCGUACUACUUUCGCAGUUGGAAAUUUCAAAUAGUCGUGUAAUAUUCAUUGUUCUUUCUAUUAUUAAAGAUACGAGAUUUUAAUGCCUAUAUUUACCUUUCUGAUGAUAUACUGUACCCCCCCCUUCCGAAAUUAAGAAGCUUCACAUAAGUAUUGUUAAAUAAUUUCUUCUCACCCAUUAAAUGUACAAACAUAUUGAUGAUCCAUCAUUGUAAUCACAGGCACCUGAAGUAUGGACAUUACUACUCCCCCCUCCUUUCUUCUUCUUAUUUUUUUUUCUUUUUUCUUUUUUUGACGCUAGAUUUAUUUUACCGGAAGAAGGCCAAUCCCUAACGUGAAACGAUUGCCUAAAUUGGGAUGGAAUAGACCGGGAAUCCACACAUUUUGAAGAAAAUAUCGCCGCAAAAAAAAAAAAUCAAAAGGGGAGGGGGGGGGGGCACCUGACUGUAGCCAAAAUCUGUUGAUUGAAUGUUAACCAUUUGAAGCUGAUCAAUACAUGUACAUAUAAACAAUUCUUAAUUACUGCACAGUAUGUUAUGAGCAAGCAUUUUGUUUUAGAUACAUUGUAUAUACACAUGCAUUUAUAUUCGAGUUAUAACACUAAGGUGGGGUGGGUGGGUGUCAGAUUGCUUAUAAGUUAGCUGUGCUAAUACAUACAUAUUAUAUGAAUAAUUAGACUUAUUAUUUGAUCUCAAAUUAUAUAUAUAUUCCUAAUUAUCUUAAUACUAAUUAAAGAUUUCCAAUAUCAAGGGAAUUAACUUGAUUAUUUUUAAAGUUAGAUUUUGAAUAAGAGUUAUUUUUGUGUAUUGUAAUAUAUAUAUGAUAUACUAGGCUAUAUCAAAUCAUGAUUCUACAGGUACUCGGCUGUAUCAAGUGGUCUAAUAUAUAGCACAGUUGAUUUAAAAAGAAAGGUGAAUCUUUGCGGUUCGUUAAUGGCUAUAUAACAAGCAAUAUGAUGGUACUUGUUGGAGGGGGGGGGGGGGUCGUUCAAUCAAUUUAAAAAAAAUGCAACACUGUCUAUUUUUCAUAGAUAGUAAUAACUUGUAUAAUGGGGGGGGGAGGAUGUAGUUAUUAAUCAAUUCACUCACAAUUUCUUUUUCCAUUUGAAAUACAUGUACAACCAUACUAAUAGGCCUAAGUGAUAAUUUAAUGGACGGGGGUGGACAUGGAAAA